ACUUAAGAAUUACAUUGCUCUCUACAUCCUUCACCCUGUGUAAACUCUUCAAGUAUCUUUGAGGCUCUCAAUUUAUGGAUGAGGAAAUAAGAGGAUUGCACAAGUUUCCAAAUGAUUGUUUUCAACUAAGACAAAACCACAAGUAAGUACCCUCUUGAGGAGGAGGCCACCAGUGGGAAGAGCAUAAUGCACCUUCAGUGAUCCAUUUGGCAGAGGCCUGAGGAGGUGACCACUAGCAGAGACGCCUAGUGACUUAAUAAAGUUCACGAGAGGAACCAGUGGUGGAAUCAGCCAGGAAACCAGCCAUUCUGCCUCCAGGGAGUACAUUUUACCACAUCCGGCUGCUCAGAAAUGGGAAGAGAGAAAGCCUCAUUAUUUUGACAUUAGGGAUUUUUUUUCCCCCUAAAUAAGUUAAAUUGCCUCCUUCACACAAGACAGUAAAUCAUGAGGAUGGAUGGUUUCUCCACAGCCAGACUCUGGGAGAUCCUGGAGCAUCGCAAAAAUCAUGACUUCCCGCUGCCUGCUCUCAGCCCCUUGACCCAGAGGAGCUAUAACGGGAACACUAGUGAAAGAAUCCUCACACGGGGCAAGAGUCAGGCCCUGGCUGUUUUCUGAUGGGCCUCAUACUGGGAGCUGGUGCCUUGACUGCUCCAAGUUAUUCCCUCGGGUGGAUGGCCAAGGAAGACAGUACACUGUGUCCCAUUUGAGCAUCAAUCCGAUUACUU